AUAUUUAAGUUGUUGCAGUUAAAAAGCUCGUAGUUGGACUUAGGAGUGGGUCGGCCGGUCCGCCUCACGGUGAGUACCAGUCUGCUCAUCCCUACUACCGGCGAUACACUCCUGGCCUUAAUAUGCUGGGUCGUUCUUCCGGCGCUGUUACUUUGAAGAAAUUAGAGUGCUCAAAGUAGGCCUACGCUUGUAUACAUUAGCAUGGGAUAAC
rnacentral:ncRNA from 1 species